GUGAGGUUUAAUGCAUGUCGCCCAAAAGUGGCCCCGGUUUUGGGAGAACGACAUGCACGAGAACGAAGACCUAAAGCGCGUCGCAUGAAUCCGUUCAAACGCGACGCGCUUUAGCCAGAACAGCAAAAGGCCGGGUAAAAACCCGGCCUUUCGAAUUGCUUAGAC
rfam:Mesorhizobium loti R7A genomic scaffold MesloDRAFT_Scaffold1.1, whole genome shotgun sequence.